rnacentral:rRNA from 1 species
UCAAGCGAACAAGGGCGCAGGGCGAAUGCCUUGGCACUGGGAGCCGAUGAAAGACGUGAUAAGCUGCGAUAAGCUUCGGGGAGCUGCAAAUAAGCAUUGAUCCGGAGAUUUCUGAAUGAGGAAACUCACCUGGGUUCAUACUCAGGUACGUUAUACUGAACUUAAAAAUAGGUAUAUCGAGGGAACCGCCUGAACUGAAACAUCUAAGUAGGGCGAGGAAGAGACAUCAAACGAGAUUCCGUAAGUAGUGGCGAGCGAACGCGGAAGAGGGCAAACCGGAAGUAGAAAUACUUCCGGGGUACGGACCGCAUUUAGGACUUAAGUUGUUAACCGAACGGCAUGGGAAGGCCGGUCAGAGAGUGUGAGAACCACGUAGGUGAAAACGGAGAGAGCUGCGCAGGAUCCAGAGUACGGCCAGACACGUGAAACCUGGUCGGAAUACGGGGGGACCACCCUCCAACCCUAAAUACUACCCAGUGACCGAUAGCGUAUAGUACUGUGAAGGAAAGGUGAAAAGCACCCCGGGAGGGGAGUGAAAAAGAACCUGAAACCCUGUGCCUACAAGCACCUAGAGCACGUCAAAGUGUGAUAGGGUACUUUUUGUAGAACGGUCCGGCGAGCGAUUGUAUGCAGCAAGGUUAAGGACUUAAGGUCUGGAGCCGAAGCGAAAGCGAGUUUGAAAAGGGCGUUAAGUUGCAUACAAUGGGCCCGAAACCGGGUGACCUACCCAUGGUCAGGUUGAAGUGGAAGUAAAAUUCCAUGGAGGACCGAACCGACCUCCGUUGAAAAGGCGGCGGAUGAACUGUGGGUAGCGGAGAAAUUCCAAUCGAACCCGGAGAUAGCUGGUUCUCCCCGAAAUAGUUUUAGGACUAGCCUCAAGUUAGAUACCUGGAGGUAAAGCACUGAAUAGCCUAGCGGCCGAGAGGUUAGCGAAGCUUAUCAAACUCAGAAUGCCAGAGUAUUGAUGCUUGGGAGUCAGACAGUGUCAGAUAAAUGUCAUUGUCAAAAGGGAAACAGCCCAGAUCUACAGCUAAGGUCCCAAAGUCAGGUUAAGUGGAAAACGAUGUGAAGAUACGUAGACAACCAGGAUGUUGGCUCAGAAGCAGCCACACAUUCAAAGAGUGCGUAAUAGCUCACUGGUCGAGCGUCUUUGCGCGGAGAAUUUAACGGGGCUAAACCUGACACCGAAGCUUAGGCAAUACAGCAAUGUAUUGGGUAGGGGAGCGUUGUAUACGCGGUGAAACAGUAGCGCAAGCGGCUGUGGAGUGUAUAGAAGUGAGAAUGCCGGAAUGAGUAGCGCGAAUGCAGUGAGAAUCUGCAUGGCCGAAAGCCUCAGGUUUCUGGAGGAAGGUUCGUCCGCUCCAGGUUAGUCGGGAGCUAAGGUGAGGCCUAACGGCGUAGCCGAUGCACAGACGGUAGAGAUUCCGUCACCACCAAAAGAGUUAAGCACAGGGACACAUUUGAAGUCUCGGAGCCGGGUGUUGGUUCCGGUAGCGAUCGAGGGAAGUUAGUACCGAAGUCCGGGAUGGAAGAUGGCGAGAAAAGCUGUGUGUAUUUCUGCGGUGCCCGUACCGCAAACCGACACAGGUAGGUAGGAAGAAGAUUCUAAGGCCAACGGGAGAAGGGUUGUUAAGGAACUCGGCAAAUUGACCCCGUAACUUCGGGAGAAGGGGUGCUCCAGAGAUGGAGCCGCAGAGAAUCGGCCCAAGCAACUGUUUACCAAAAACACAGGUUUGUGCUAAAUCGAAAGAUGACGUAUACGAGCUGACGCCUGCCCGGUGCUGGAAGGUUAAGAGGAGAUGUGCAAGCAUUGAAUCGAAGCCCCAGUGAACGGCGGCCGUAACUAUAACGGUCCUAAGGUAGCGAAAUUCCUUGUCAGGU